GGAGGAGAGGUGGAGGAGAGGGAACAGAUGGAGAGAGGUGGAGGAGAGGCAACAGAUGGAGAGAGGUGGAGGAGAGGGAACAGGUGGAGAGAGGUGGAGGAGAGGUGGAGGAGAUUAACAUAUGGAGAGAGAUGGAGGAGAGGUGGAGGAGAGGGAACAGAUGGAGAGAUGGAGAUAGGUGGAGGAGAGGUGGAGGAGAGAUGUAGGAGAGGGAACAGAUGGAGAGAGAUGGAGAGAAGUGGAGGAGAGGUGCAGGAGAGGAAACAGAUGGAGAGAGGUGGAGGAGAGGUGGAGGAGAGGGAACAGAUGGAGAGAGGUGGAGGAGAGGUGGAG
ensembl:lncRNA